CNUGAUGCAGCGACGCCGCGUGGGGGANGAAGGCCUUCGGGUUGUAAACCCCUUUCAGUAGGGACGAAAAUGACGGUACCUACAGAAGAAGCUCCGGCCAACUACGUGCCAGCAGCCGCGGUAACACGUAGGGAGCAAGCGUUGUCCGGAUUUAUUGGGCGUAAAGAGCUCGUAGGUGGUUCGGUAAGUCGGAUGUGAAAACUCAAGGCUCAACCUUGAGACGCCAUCCGAUACUGCUGUGACUUGAGUUCGGUAGAGGAGUGUGGAAUUCCUGGUGUAGCGGUGAAAUGCGCAGAUAUCAGGAGGAACACCGACAGCGAAGGCAGCACUCUGGGCCGAUACUGACACUGAGGAGCGAAAGCAUGGGGAGCAAACAGGAUUAGAUACCCUGGUAGUCCAUGCCGUAAACGUUGGGCACUAGGUGUGGGGAUUUAUCAACGAUCUCCGCGCCGUCGCUAACGCAUUAAGUGCCCCGCCUGGGGAGUACGGA
rnacentral:rRNA from 1 species